GGUGGGUGUGUCUGGACACGUCUGGAUGAGGUGGGUGUGUCUGGACACGUCUGGAUGAGGUGGGUGUGUCUGGACGAGGUGGGUGUGUCUGGACGAGGUGGGUGUGUCUGGACGAGGUGGGUGUGUCUGGAUACGUCUGGACGAGGUGGGAGUGUCUGGAUGAGGUGGGUGUGUCUGGACACGUCUGAAUGAGGUGGGUGUGUCUGGAGAUGGGCAGGCGAGGAGGGGAUGGC